UAUCUCGUCAAUCUCUGACCCGUCUUGUCAGGUUUCUAGUUUAGGUUUAUUUCAGAUAUAUUUUAUUACUUUGAGUAUUUUGUUGUUACUUUUAGUAGUUUUUUUUAUUAUUAAAUAUUUUUCGAGAUUCUUGGAUUAUUAUUCUGCCCUGUGACAGCCAAGGUACACACACCAAAAGGACCAGUUGAAUGCCCAUUGAAUCAAAGCAAAAAUGUUGCAAUUGCAGGUACCAUCAAAAGGUGGCCACAUGAAGAUGUGCACAACAUCGCGAUGACAAAGUAAAAUGAUUGGAUGCUAGAAUACAGGAGAAGGUAAUGGAAGCUUCCUUAGACAAUCCUGCAUGCCUCAGUCAAUAUUCACUUCUGCGCCUCAAGCUACCGCAUUUUUAAAAGCAACUGCGAGGAUUUGAGCCAGUUCCAGGGGAAACAGCGCUCAUUUCGCUGCAAGUCACACAGAUCAAGUCAAGACCCUCAGGCAGCCUCAUCAUCUCAGCACUCACAUCUUACUGCUGGCUUCUAGCACUGCAUGAGCUUUUUUUUUACCUUCUGUCUUCAAGUCAACUAUGCAGUUGUCUAUUUUAAAUAAUCUUUUAUUGCCUCUCGCCACAUGAAUCUGUUCAUCGUGGUUUUAAAUAAGUUGUUCCUGUUUUCUUUCUUUCUGAUUUCUAGCCUUUCAGCUGAGUUAUCUAAUAAUAAGAAUAAAAAUAGUCAGCAUCUUCCUCAUCAUCACGAGCAGCAGGAUGUUGAAGGUUGUGCAAAAACAAGUUUAGUCUAAACACUGAGAGGAGACUCUCAAUAAAAUUAAAAAAAUAGUCUAUGAGUAAGUCAUUAGACAAGCCAUGAUGCAUGGAUUGGAAGCAGCAUCACCUAAGAAAGUAAUUUUUUUCUCAUUAUUUAUAGAAAAUCUCUAUUGACAAAUGGCAUUUAACAACAUAGAAACAUUGAUACAACAGUAAAAGAAGAAUAAGAAGUGGAUACCAAAGCAUCAUUGAUAGAUAAAGGAACAAGUAAAAAGUUUAGCAUUUUCAUCUCUGCUGGUAAAAAGGGAAAAGUGGGCAAGAAGGACAAGGAAGGAAGGUCAAGUCUUUCCUGGAAUGUUUCCUGGGGACAAAGCAAAGCCAAAUUCUCCAAUACAUGAUGAUUCCCAACAAAUCGUUUAUGUAGAUGUAUAUAUGUAUUUUUUUUUAAUUUUGUCCAAUCAGGAUUCACCCUGUUGCCACGUCAAUCGAAUCACCCGAUUUCGUCUGGUUAAAUUGACUCAAUAAUAUUAUUAUAUUUGUACCUAAAAUGAGCCAUGCAUCAGUUGCAUACAAAGCCCAUGCGUUCAAAGAACUAAACCAAGAAAAAAAUCAAUAUCACUACAAAAACAAAAAACAAAACAAACCCUCAAAGGAUAUUUAGUGUAAAUCACUGUUCUAUAUGUUUUACUGUUGCCUGACAGUCAAAAGUUGUCAGCAGUGCUCGGCUUCACUUUGACAGGUGCCACACAUCACAUCCUUAUGUUCACAUCCACAACGAUACGUUAUGACAAACAUUAUGAAAAUCUUCAAGGUAUUCUAAAAUUCAGUGAGGCCAAAAUUCUGAUUGCCUUCCUUAUGAAGUUUUCUAAACUGAUGAUUGAUGUAAAUAUGGUGAUGCCACUUAAGACAUUGAUUUUGUCCUGCUGGACUUUUGUACACUUUACAGGUCCCACUGAUUAUUUAUAUUACUAUUUUAU